rnacentral:rRNA from 1 species
CAAAUCAGCAUGCCCCUUAUAUCUUGGGCUACACACGUGCUACAAUGGUCGGUACAAACAGUUGCGAUCUCGUAAGAGGGAGCUAAUCUGAAAAAGCCGAUCUCAGUUCGGAUUGAGGGCUGCAACUCGCCCUCAUGAAGCCGGAAUCGGCUAGUAAUCGCGAAAUCAGCAAUGUCGCGGUGAAUACGUUCUCGGGUCUUGUACACACACGCCCGUCACACCAUGAGAGUUGAUAAUACCAGAAGUCGGUAUUCUAACCGCAAGGAGGAAGCCGCCCAAGGUAGGAUUGAUGAUUAGGGUGAAGUCGUAACAAGGUAUCCGUACGAGAACGUGCGGAUGGAUCAC